rnacentral:rRNA from 1 species
UACAGAGGGUGCUAGCGUUGUUCGGAAUCAUUGGGCGUAAAGAGCGUGUAGGCGGCUAGGUAGGUCCGUUGUGAAAACUCGAGGCUCAACCUCGAGACGUCGAUGGAAACCAUCUAGCUAGAGUCCGGAAGAGGAGAGUGGAAUUCCUGGUGUAGCGGUGAAAUGCGCAGAUAUCAGGAAGAACACCCGUGGCGAAGGCGGCUCUCUGGUACGUGACUGACGCUGAGACGCGAAAGCGUGGGGAGCGAACAGG